GGAGAAUUAGCUCAGCUGGGAGAGCGAGCAUCUGCCUUACAAGCAGAGGGUCGGCGGUUCGAACCCGUCAUUCUCCACCA
rnacentral:tRNA from 1 species